rnacentral:rRNA from 1 species
CCAGACUCCUACGGGAGGCAGCAGUGAGGAAUAUUGGUCAAUGGGCGGAAGCCUGAACCAGCCAAGUCGCGUGAGGGAAGAAGGCCCUGCGGGUCGCAGACCUCUUUGGACGGGGAGCAAGGCCGCCGACGUGUCGGCGGAAGGAGAGUAACCGUAGAACAAGCAUCGGCUAACUCCGUGCCAGCAGCCGCGGUAAUACGGAGGAUGCGAGCGUUAUCCGGAUUUAUUGGGUUUAAAGGGUGCGCAGGCGGCGCGGCAAGCCGGCGGUAAAAGCGCGGGGCUCAACCCCGCCCAGCCGUCGGAACUGCCGGGCUAGAGUGGGCGAGAAGUGCGCGGAAUGCGUGGUGUAGCGGUGAAAUGCAUAGAUAUCACGAAGAACCCCGAUUGCGAAGGCAGCAUACCGGCUCCACGCUGACGCUGAGGCACGAAAGCGUGGGUAUCGAACAGGAUUAGAUACCCUAGUAC